rnacentral:rRNA from 1 species
ACGGAGGGAAAACACAAUGACUGAGUGGCGGACGGGUGAGUAACGCGUAGGGAACCUGGCCCUUACAGGGGGAUAACAGAUGGAAACAACUGCUAAUACCGCAUAAGCGCCCAGCCUCGCAUGAGGCAGAGUGAAAAACUAAGGUGGUAAGGGAUGGCCCUGCGUCCGAUUAGCUAGUUGGUAUGGUAACGGCAUACCAAGGCGACGAUCGGUAGCCGGCCUGAGAGGGUGGACGGCCACAUUGGGACUGAGACACGGCCCAAACUCCUACGGGAGGCAGCAGUGGGGGAUAUUGCACAAUGGGGGAAACCCUGAUGCAGCGACACCGCGUGGGUGAAGAAGCGCUUCGGCGUGUAAAGCCCUAUCAGUGGGGAAGAAAAAGGACGGUACCCAAAGAAGAAGCACCGGCUAAAUACGUGCCAGCAGCCGCGGUAAUACGUAUGGUGCAAGCGUUAUCCGGAAUGACUGGGUGUAAAGGGAGCGUAGACGGUUGUACAAGUCUGAUGUGAAAGCCCACGGCUCAACUGUGGGAGUGCAUUGGAAACUGUAGAACUAGAGUAUCGGAGAGGCAAGUGGAAUUCCUAGUGUAGCGGUGAAAUGCGUAGAUAUUAGGAGGAACACCAGUGGCGAAGGCGGCUUGCUGGACGAAAACUGACGUUGAGGCUCGAAAGCGUGGGGAGCAAACAGGAUUAGAUACCCUGGUAGUCCACGCUGUAAACGAUGAAUACUAGGUGUUGGGGCCCGAAGGGCGUCGGUGCCGUCGCAAACGCAGUAAGUAUUCCACCUGGGGAGUACGUUCGCA